CCAUGUGUAAAGUACUGGAGAGUUUUACGACUCCUCCGCCAUAGGCCAUCCUUCCUGGGGGCGUGACUCUGAGCCCUCCUGAAUCCCUGCGGGUGGACUCGAGUGGGCUGGCAUUGGCACCCUCCCCCCUUGCCUAAUGAUGGUGGGGAGUAAGUCAUCAAAGUUAAACAUGCUUCAAACAUCAUCUACCGAAUUAUGACGUUUGCACCCAGAAACCCUUGACUCGAGUCAGUGCCAACGGCACAAUAGCACGUUCCAGACCUACCUUACACACACGGGUAAAUAGACAGUUACCGUAAUUCACUCCUCUUGCUCUUUGUACUUAUUGAGGCCUAGUUGACAUCCCCAUUCUCAGUAGGCCGGAGGCGAGGAAGGCUCAGAGACGCUGAGAAACUCGCCUGAUGACGCACAGCAGGCGGCGCCCACAGCCAACCCAACCUUCAACCCCAAGUGUGACACCCUGGCAGCCACAAAUGUCUCCGUCGAUUUAGCCCAUCAUUUUGGAAUUACUGGCUAAUGGGAUGGGCCCAGCUCGCACUCCCGCUUCGUGUUUUCAAUUCUCCGUGAGAAACCAACCGUCCAGAACAACAGGGAGAAUCCUCGACUUCGGCCCUCACUGGUGCGAAAAGGUCCAGAAGAGUCCCCCAGCUCCCCAAGACCCAAGUCCAGGGACUGCAAGGAGGUCUCCCUGAGGACUAGUCGGAAAGCUGAGCAUCAUCCGGUGUCCCCUGGUGAGGAAGUCUGGUGAGGUGGGCAGGCAAGCAGCCGGGCCCUGCUCAACUGACACCAAGUCACUUUGUAAGUUUCCCCUGUUUUUAAGGAGGGGAUAUAUUUUUUUUUUCCUCUUCUAUAAGCAAAAUAAAAUGUGAGCUGAAAAAUAUAAAACUCUACAGACAAAAGCCCCACCCUCGCCCGGCCAGGGAGGCCAGGGAGCUAGGCGGGCCCGCCGUGGGGCUCUCAACCUUGGGGCCUAACUGCCAGGUAGCGCUCGCUCGGUAACCUGGCAACGGGACGCCUCCAGGCCGCGCUUCCUCCUUGGCUGGGAUUGGUGGAGGCCCGAGGACUCCAGCCUUCUCUCCACUUGCUUCGAAGAUUUCUUCCUUUCAAAGUCAGUUUCCUCCUGUUGCUCAUCUAAAGAGUGUCUUCUCGGGUUUUGUAUUAAACGCUCAGAUGUGAGCCUCCGCAAUUAUCAACCGCAGGGGCCUAUUGCCCUUCCUACCUGAAAACUCCUACACGCCCUUCAACACCCAUGCACAGAUACAGAUUUAUGGACACACACACACACACGUUCAAGUAUGCCAUUUAUUGGGAGCCAACAAUAUACAAUGUGCUGUUUGUGUCUUUCACAACACAACGCUCUUGAACGGGCUGACAUUGCAGUCCAGAACUGUUUGAUUCUAAACCCCGAGGUUUUACCCACGGAGGUAAGAGACAUAACUUUGUGAGCUUUGGAUUUCCACGUCUUUAAAGCAGGGGCUGCAGGAUUCCUACUGGAGGCUGAGGAUGAAAGAAAUAAGACGCCACCUGGAGAGCCCAGGUGGAGAGGCGCUGUGAGUGACCCUGGGAAGCGGCCACGUUCUCGAUGCUCCGGGCUCACAGCCGAGCAGAUGUUAAUGCUGACUGAUACUUAUUGAUUACCUGCUCUGCGCCAGCCCGCUGCAAUUUAACCCGUAUAUUUGGAUUCGCA